CCCUCCACCUCUCUGAGGUCCCUAACCCAUCUCCAAUCAAAACAUUUUAGCACUGUCCAAACCCCAUCGUUUUCGCCCCAUUGUCACUGUAGGAACUCGCUGCACCCGUUGCCGCUGCACUCAUUUCCAUUGUCGAUCUGGUGGUGGAUCCGGGAUGGAUUUGCUAAUUUCAGGAGAAUCAAGGGAUAUGGUUUUUGCAUAACCACUCCAUCAUCCCGAGCGUCAGGUUCUUGCAAGAGAUGAUAUCCAAGCCUGAAAUUGGACAAUCACAAAGGUUUUAUGCAUGAAACAAAGUUAAUUUUUCCCUUCCUAUGUUGCUUUACUAUUGAUUCCAAGUAGCUUUUUCUUUCUUCUUUAUAUAGUUUUUUAUAAUGAUUUGUAUUUUUUAAAAAGGUUUCUGGGAUAUCAAGCUAAUAUAUAUGGGUGGACCAGCAUGAUUUUUUUGAGGACCAAUUUAGGAGUCGUUAGACUCCCUACCAAAUCUCAGCAAUCAAUACAAUUCUUCUGGUGGCCCCGAUGGUAGAUGACCCACUGUGAGAAAAUCGUGCCAAUUGCUUGAUCUUGCUCAUCUAACCAUGGUACUUUUGCUUAAAACAUGUGAACUGUACAUCUUUUAAGGCCUUAGCUGUUGGUUUACAAUCCAGUCUAGAGCCUACAGAUUAUAUAUAUCAGGCUACUAAGAUGGAUCUAUAUGAGUAUGGGAUGCCACAUAUUCAGUCCUGUCACUUGUAUCUGUGUAUUGGGAGGGGAGGUUAGAGCCUCAUCAUGGACAACCAAUAAAAUAUUUAUCUUUGAAAUGUAAUGAAUGUACCAGGUAUCAAAGUGGCUGGCAUAAGUGCUCCAGUAUCAGUGUUGGACUUCUAUUCAAUCACUAUGAGCUUGGUUGUUGGAAACGAAUGUGGUUUGGUGAGAGAUGUUCUUUCCAUAGCUACUUUCUUCGGAUUUGGCGGCUUAGGUUAUUAUUCAGUGUACAUAGCAAUCUAAUUAUUUGUUGUGACACUAAAAUCACAUUAGUAGAAUGAUACGAACUAUUUAAACAUUGACCAUCUAAA